AUUUUGGGUGCCCCUAGGUGUGCCCAGGUGCAUCCCAGGUGUAUCCCAGGUGUGCCCAGGUGUAUCCCAGGUGUAUCCCAGCUGUGCCCAGGUGUAUCCCAGGUGCCCCCAGGUGUGCCCAGGUGUGCCCAGGUGUAUCCCAGGUGUAUCCCAGGUGUAUCCCAGGUGUAUCCCAGGUGUAUCCCAGCUGUGCCCAGGUGUAUUUUGGGUGCCCCCAGGUGUAUCCCAGGUGUGCCCAGGUGUGCCAGCCCCCCCCGUCUCUCACCUGCAGCUCGGUGCCCCCCCAGGUGUUCUGGAACGUUCUCUGGUCGAAGCUCACCCGGGCCGAGCUCUGCAGGUGAACCUUGGGCCAGGGCACCUGCGCAGGUGGGCACAGGUGAGGGCACAGCUGGGCACAGGUGUGGUUUGGGUGUGCCCAGGUGUGCCCAGCUGUGCUCAGGUGUAUGUCAGGUACCCCCAGGUGCGUUUUGGGUGUGCCCAGGUGUAUCCCAGGUGUGUUUGGGUAUAUUUUGGGUACAUUUUGGGUAUCCAGGUGUAUCUCAGGUGUGCCCAGGUGUAUCUCAGGUAUAUUUUGGGUACCCAGGUGUACCCAGGUGUACCCAGGUGUGCCCAGGUGUGCCCCCUCACCUGUCUCACCCACUCCAGGUUCAGUUUCCCGCCCAGGUGGAACCCCCAGGUGUAUCUCAGGUGUAUCCCAGGUGUAUCUCAGGUGUGCCAUGUCUUACCUGCCGCACCCACUCCAGGUUCAGUUUCCCGCCCAGGUGGAAGCCCCAGGUGUGCCCAGGUGUAUCUCAGGUGUAUUUUGGGUACCCAGGUGUAUCUCAGGUGUACCCAAGUGUGCCCAGGUGUGCCAUGUCUCACCUGCCGUACCCACUCCAGGUUGAGUUUGCCCCCCAGGUGGAACCCCCAGGUGUAUCUCAGGUGUACUUUGGGUGUAUGUUGGGUACCCAGGUGUAUCUCAGGUGUAUCUCAGGUGUGCCCCCUUACCUGCCGUACCCA
rnacentral:lncRNA from 1 species